rnacentral:rRNA from 1 species
AAGGGCCUGACUUUUAUUGGCUCUGAUUAUACUUAUACAUGCAAGUAUCACGCUCCUGUGAGAAUGCCCUCAACCCCCGACCGGGGCUAAGGAGCUGGUAUCAGGCUCAAUAUCUUAGCCCAAACCCUUGCUUCCCACACCCCCAGGUAUCCAUAAUAAACAUCCACCGCGGUUAUACGAGGGGCCCAAGUCAAUAGCCCCCGGCGUAAAGGGUGGUUAGGAUUUUCCCCAAAAACUAAGGCCCAACAUUCUCAAGGCUGUUAUACGCACCCGAGAAAUGGAAGAACCUCUACGAAAGUGGCCUUAAUUCACUGAACCCACGAAAGCUACAGAACAAACUGGGAUUAGAUACCCCACUAUGUGUAGCCGUAAACUCUGAUAGCCCCCUCACAUAGCUAUCCGCCCGGGUACUACGAGCAUUAGCUUAAAACCCAAAGGACUUGGCGGUGCCUUAGACCCCCCUAGAGGAGCCUGUUCUAGAACCGAUACCCCCCGUUCAGACCUCACCAUCUCUUGUCAUAACUGCCUAUAUACCGCCGCCGUCAGCUUACCCUGUGAAGGUGUAAUAGUAAGCAUUAAUGGUACAGCCUCAAACGUCAGGUCGAGGUGUAGCGCAUGAGAUGGUAGAAAUGGGCUACAUUCUCUGACUCAGGGAAUUACGGAAGGAGAGUUGAAAUACUCUCCUGAAGGAGGAUUUAGCAGUAAGCGAAAAAUAGAGCGUCCCGCUGAA